rnacentral:rRNA from 1 species
AUUGAACGCUGGCGGCAGGCCUAACACAUGCAAGUCGAGCGAGCGGCGGACGGGUGAGUAAUGCCUGGGAAUUGCCCAGUCGAGGGGGAUAACAGUUGGAAACGACUGCUAAUACCGCAUACGAUUGGAUCGCCCAGGUGGGAUUAGCUAGUUGGGGAGGUAAUGGCUCACCAAGGCGACGAUCCCUAGCUGGACGUAGAGGAUGAUCGUCCACACUUGAACUGAGACACGGUCCAGCCUCCUACGGGAGGCAGCAGUGGGGGAUAUUGCACAAUGGGGGAAACCCUGAUGCAGCCAUGCCGCGUGUGUGAAGAGGGCCUUCGGGUUGUAAAGCACUUGCAGCGAGGAGGCGUUACUCGCAGAUGAAGCACCGGCUAUCUCCUUGCCAGCAGCCGCGUAAUUC